CGUCUUUUUUUUUCCUGAGCCUCACUGUUGAUGAUCUAUAGAUGUGAUGUCAGUUUCUUUACUUCAUUUAGUUGAAGCGUCCAUUUUAGUUGAUUGCAGGGUAUAGGUUAUCUCCGAUACCCUCAAGUAAGACAAGCAUUUUUGGGUGGUGCCACAUCUUCCGUACUGUAAGUUCACUAAGCCACGUUAUCUCCAUUACAACCCCACCACCAAAUUCCUUACCAAGUAACUAUUUGUAGGUGAAAAGAACUAGAAAAUUAGGGAUUGAAUUUCUUUUUUUUCUUUUUUUAAUUUUUUAAUUUUUUAUUUUUAAUAAUUGUGGUUGUGGCUGGGAUUGGAUUUUUUAAUUUUUCUUUUUUUUUUUUGAAUAAUUCCUCACCAAGUAGAAUGUAAAAUUUUAAAGUAUGUUCAUUCUUCCUUAGCUUACUUGUACGAGUGUCCUUGAAAAUUGAUUUUAUUUAUCAUCAUAAUUCUCUAGGGAUCAUACAGAAUCAAUAAAAGCUCAUCACAGGAAAGAUCCUAUAUUCAGCAGGGUGACCUCUGACAAGGUUUGUAUCUGGUCUUGUUAUGGAUUCAUGUGUUUUUGAUGUAUUAGAUGCUGACCAGGGAUACCUAUGGGGUGAAUUGAUUUCCUAGGAGUGUAAUUACAAGUAGUUCUAAAAUUGGCCGACUCAAAAUCAAAACUCGGCAGGUUAUCAACCCUCUGCUUUUCCACCAUGAAAAGCACUGUUCAUUUCAGGUACUGCUCGAAAAAAAAUGAAAUAUUAAUUCAGCAUAUAAGCUUCUCAUGUUUUUAGCCUGUUGAGACUUCAAAUUGAUUGACAUCUUUGUUAACAUACAUUUCAUUGUUUUGGUGGUGUGGCCCACAUGAGUUUUGGAUUCAGCUGAUCUUUCAAAUACGCUCCUCCAGAAGGGGAUAGCGCGGCUUCUUUGAAAGUAAGAGGAACAGCGGGAUACUUGGAUCUGGAGUAUUUUCCACUCAGCAACUUUCUGCCAAAUGUGUUAUAUGAAGCUCGAUUGAUGGGUCGAAUGGGUAUGGAUUCAAAUUAUAAAUUUAUCCUCCUAGCUUAUGGAAAAAUCAUGAACCAUCCUUUGUUUUUAUGGUACAAACUCAGUUCUUCAGAAAUUAGGCCUUACUAUGGCAUGUUAUAUGAAGCUCGAUCGAUGGGUCGAGUGGCUCCAAAUUUUGGUAGUCUAAAACAUUCAUAUGGUGGGCCCAUCGUUGGAUGGGCUGGUGACAGUUCUUACAAUGUGAUUGGUGGAUUGCGAAUGCAAAAUUAUAGGCAAUGGUCUGCAUUAAUGGGGGCCCAUCUGACUCUCAGGAUCAUCUAAUGAGGAGGAUUCUUGGCAUACUCUCAUUCAUUAUGGGGUUGAUUGCAUGAAUGGGUUGGUUCACCCAAAAGUGGGCCACACAUGUAUAACUUGUUGGUUUGAGCGAAUUGCUAGAUCAAGCAUUUCAUAUUUCCUCUAGCUCUAUAUCUACAUUCAUCACGUUCUUUUGAUAGGUGAAGUUGAACACCUCACCCUCUCUUUUGGUUCACUUGACAUAUUGGUUAGCUUGCGCAAAAUCUACAUACAUACAUACAUUCACACACAUACAUAUCUGCACGUUAUGAAUUUUCAGUAUUCCGUAGAGAAAUCUUGUCAGCGAAGAAGCUGUAUGCGACUGUCUAAAAGUGGAACUAUUGGAUUGAUCCCUAGCAUGAGGAAACAAAAGCAUGGUGUUUGCCGCAUACUUCGUUUUUCUUUUGUUAUUUCUUCCUUUUUCAUCCGGCGAUGAAAUGGGCUACCUGCCUAACAUAGAACAAAGGUGUGAACUGGAAUUUGCAGCAUUACAUUACAAGUAUUUUGUUGUUUAUCAGAGACUGCUCUUGUUUUUUGGUAGAUUUCUAAGGACAGCUCUUUGAAAUCUGGGUUCAUGUUCUUAUUAUUAGUGCUGCUGUAGUUGUUGUUGGUGGAUGAAAUUUCCCACCCUUCGGUGUGAUAGAUACACCAUUUCUUUUCUA